rnacentral:ncRNA from 2 species
GUUCGUCUUCAGGGGCAGGGUGUAAUUCCCGACCGGUGGUAAAAGUCCACGACCCGCUUUUUGCGGCUGAUCCGGUGUGAAUCCGGAACCGAUAGUUAAAGUCUAGAUAAAGAAGAUGCGG